GCGCGGCCUACCUCUGCUACUCCAAGGGCGUCGGCUUCACCGACUACCUCCUGUCCCCCGCUACGUCCAACGCGCCUCGUCACGACCGUGAAAGGGCCAACGCGCAAAAGGCGGAGUGGAGAGGAAAGCGUCUCCGCUGUACACGGGAGAUCCGACGCUUGACCAGGCAUUAGGACAGGUUACUUGUAGGUUUUGCACAGAGGUUCGGAGUAACUACUGAUGGGAUUAGUUUUUCACUAAGUAUCGAAUUACUACUGAUGGGGAUAGUUUCGUGUGACGGAUCGAGGGUAAAUGAAGACAUAGACGAGGCCUAAUGCUGUUACGUCUGCCUUUUAUACUACGUAUAUCUGUAAUCUGCUUGGUCAUUUGUGCGUACAAGUACUUGAUUCUUGGGGAUGCUGUCUAUUGUCCCGAUGUCUCUCUUUCUACAAGUACUUGAUUCCUAGGGAUGCUGUCUAUUAUCCAGAAGGCAUAUGACGAAACUUGGCCCUGUGUGAUA